rnacentral:sRNA from 1 species
AUAUCUCUCUGUACGGGAAGGAUGAGAAGCCUCGACCAAGGUUCGAUUCGAGCGCAGCGAGAAAGCGUUGCCGCAGGCAACGACCCGAAGGGCGAAGCGCGCAGCGCUGAGUCAUCCUUCCCCCACCACCA